UACGGAGGGAGCUAGCGUUAUUCGGAAUUACUGGGCGUAAAGCGCACGUAGGCGGCUUUGUAAGUUAGAGGUGAAAGCCUGGAGCUCAACUCCAGAAUUGCCCUUAAGACUGCAUCGCUUGAAUCCAGGAGAGGUGAGUGGAAUUCCGAGUGUAGAGGUGAAAUUCGUAGAUAUUCGGAAGAACACCAGUGGCGAAGGCGGCUCACUGGACUGGUAUUGACGCUGAGGUGCGUAAAGCGUGGGGAGCAAACAGG
rnacentral:rRNA from 1 species